rnacentral:rRNA from 1 species
UACGGAGGGCGCGAGCGUUACCCGGAUUUACUGGGCGUAAAGGGCGUGUAGGCGGCUUGGGGCGUCCCAUGUGAAAGGCCACGGCUCAACCGUGGAGGAGCGUGGGAUACGCUCAGGCUAGACGGUGGGGGAGGGUGGUGGAAUUCCUGGAGUAGCGGCGAAAUGCGCAGAUACCGGGAGGAACGCCGAUGGCGAAGGCAGCCACCUGGCUCACUGGUGACGCUGAGGCGCGAAAGCGUGGGGAGCAAACCGG